rnacentral:rRNA from 1 species
GAUGAACGCUGGCGGCGUGCCUAAUACAUGCAAGUCGAGCGAACAGACGAGGAGCUUGCUCCUCUGACGUUAGCGGCGGACGGGUGAGUAACACGUGGAUAACCUACCUAUAAGACUGGGAUAACUUCGGGAAACCGGAGCUAAUACCGGAUAAUAUAUUGAACCGCAUGGUUCAAUAGUGAAAGACGGUUUUGCUGUCACUUAUAGCUGGAUCCGCGCCGCAUUAGCUAGUUGGUAAGGUAACGGCUUACCAAGGCAACGAUGCGUAGCCGACCUGAGAGGGUGAUCGGCCACACUGGAACUGAGACACGGUCCAGACUCCUACGGGAGGCAGCAGUAGGGAAUCUUCCGCAAUGGGCGAAAGCCUGACGGAGCAACGCCGCGUGAGUGAUGAAGGUCUUCGGAUCGUAAAACUCUGUUAUUAGGGAAGAACAAAUGUGGAAGUAACUAUGCACGUCUUGACGGUACCUAAUCAGAAAGCCACGGCUAACUACGUG